GUUUUACAUCCUUCCUGAGAUGCAAGACGUGUUUGGUAUUUUUGUUCAGGUUGUGUUUCAGGACUUCUGCAGGUUUGUUUCUCUGAAAACAUCAAGAAAGCGAGCUUCAUCAGCAGAAACUGCUGUCGUUACACAGAUAAACUUUACACAAACACACAACUUCAAGAAGAGAUUUCUAUCACACUAGUUUCAUGUCAACUCUAAAAUUCAGAAGAUUUUCACUUGUCUUUGCAGAAUGACGAAUCAAAAUGAUUUUCUGUGACAGAUGCUGCUGAAAGAGCUCAACAUUUCAUUUAUAUGCUGGACUGAUAUUAUAUUCAUUAUAAUUAAUGAAGAUAAACAGUAAUAAUAUUUAACAAACCACUGGACUAGAUUCGCAAUCGUGUGUUCGUCACUAGGCAACGUUACAUUUCCGCUGUGUGUUUCCAUGGCAACUACAAUUUAAGACUUUGGAUACGGCCGCGGCGUUCGUUCGU